rnacentral:rRNA from 1 species
AUACGUAGGGGGCGAGCGUUGUCCGGAAUGAUUGGGCGUAAAGGGCGCGUAGGCGGCCCGGUAAGUCUGGAGUGAAAGUCCUGUUUUUAAGAUGGGAAUUGCUUUGGAUACUGUCGGGCUUGAGUGCAGGAGAGGUAAGUGGAAUUCCCAGUGUAGCGGUGAAAUGCGUAGAGAUUGGGGGGAACACCAGUGGCGAAGGCGACUUACUGGACUGUAACUGACGCUGAGGCGCGAAAGUGUGGGGAGCAAACAGGAUUAGAUACCCUGGUAGUCCACACUGUAAACGAUGAAUGCUAGGUGUUGCGGGUAUCGACCCCUGCAGUGCCGGAGUAAACACAAUAAGCAUUCCGCCUGGGGAGUACGGCCGCAAGGUUGAAACUCAAAUGAAUUGACGGGG